UACGAAGGGGACUAGCGUUGUUCGGAAUUACUGGGCGUAAAGCGCACGUAGGCGGAUUUGUUAGUCAGGGGUGAAAUCCCGGGGCUCAACCUCGGAACUGCCUUUGAUACUGCAAGUCUCGAGUCCGAUAGAGGUGGGUGGAAUUCCUAGUGUAGAGGUGAAAUUCGUAGAUAUUAGGAAGAACACCAGUGGCGAAGGCGGCCCACUGGAUCGGUACUGACGCUGAGGUGCGAAAGCGUGGGUAGCGAACAGG
rnacentral:rRNA from 1 species